GGGGAAUUUUGGACAAUGGGCGAAAGCCUGAUCCAGCCAUGCCGCGUGCAGGAUGAAGGCCUUCGGGUUGUAAACUGCUUUUGUACGGAACGAAAAGGUCUUUUCUAAUAAAGAAGGCUCAUGACGGUACCGUAAGAAUAAGCACCGGCUAACUACGUGCCAGCAGCCGCGGUAAUACGUAGGGUGCAAGCGUUAAUCGGAAUUACUGGGCGUAAAGCGUGCGCAGGCGGUUAUAUAAGACAGAUGUGAAAUCCCCGGGCUCAACCUGGGAACUGCAUUAGUGACUGUAUAGCUAGAGUGCGGCAGAGGGGGAUGGAAUUCCGCGUGUAGCAGUGAAAUGCGUAGAUAUGCGGAGGAACACCGAUGGCGAAGGCAAUCCCCUGGGCCUGCACUGACGCUCAUGCACGAAAGCGUGGGGAGCAAACA
rnacentral:rRNA from 1 species